rnacentral:rRNA from 1 species
AGAGUUUGAUCCUGGCUCAGGACGAACGCUGGCGGCACGCCUAAUGCAUGCAAGUCGGACGAGGUCUCACUUUCGAGUGGGUUCCCUAGUGGCAGACGGCUGAGUAACGCGUGGGUAACCUGCCCUUGAGUCUGGGAUAACUGCGAGAAAUUGCAGCUAAUACCGGAUACACUCUGUUGCUCUUUGUAGCAGAGGAAAGAUUUAUCGCUCUAGGAUGGGCCUGCGUCCUAUCAGGUAGUUGGUGUGGUAACGGCGCACCAAGCCGAAAACGGGUAGCUGGUGUGAGAGCAUGACCAGCCAGAGGGGGACUGAGACACGGCCCCCACUCCUCCGGGAGGCAGCAGCAGGGAAUCGUGCACAAUGGGCGAAAGCCUGAUGCCGCGAUGCCGCGUGAGGGAUGACGGCUUUAGAGUUGUAAACCUCUUUUUUCAGGGAAGAGCAAGGACGUUACCUGAGGAACAAGCCACGGCUUACUACGUGCCAGCAGCAGCGGUAAUACGUAGGUGGCGAGCGUUGUCCGGAAUUACUGGGCGUAAAGGGUCCGUAGGCUGUCGUAUAAGUCUCCUGUGAAAUCUCCACGCUUAACGUGGAAUGGUCGGGAGAAACUGUACGACUAGAGACUGUCAGAGGCAGGUGGAAUUCCCGGAGUAGUGGUGAAAUACGUAGAUAUCGGGAGGAACACCAGUGGCGAAAGCGGCCUGCUGGGGCAGUUCUGACGCUGAUGGACUAAAGCGUGGGGAGCGAACCGGAUUAGAUACCCGGGUAGUCCACGCCCUAAACGAUGAAUGCUAGGUCUUCGAGGUGUAGAUGCCUUGGGGGCCGAAGGAAACCCGUUAAGCAUUCCGCCUGGGGACUACGGCCGCAAGGUUAAAACUUAAAGGAAUUGACGGGGGCCCGCACAAGCGGUGGAGCAUGCGGUUUAAUUCGAAGCAACGCGAGAAACCUUACCA